rnacentral:rRNA from 1 species
AUACGAAAGGUGCAAGCGUUGUUCGGAUUUACUGGGCGUAAAGAGAUCGUAGGUGGUUUGUUAAGUCGGAUGUGAAAUCCCGGGGCUCAACCCCGGAACUGCAUUCGAUACUGGCAGACUAGAGUUUGGGAGGGGUAAGCGGAAUUCCGUGUGUAGCAGUGAAAUGCCUAGAUAUACGGAGGAACACCUGAGGCGAAGGCGGCUUACUGGACCAAUACUGACACUGAGGAUCGAAAGCGUGGGUAGCAAACAGGAUUAGAUACCCCAGUAGUCC